GAACAAAAAUACAAGGUUCUUCCAUGUUUCUACAAUUCAAAGGUGACAUCAAAAUUCUAUAGUGAAGCUCCAAAAGGCUAAUGGUACUUGGAUUGAAAUUGAACAAGAGAUCCGAUCAGAAAUUCUAAAUUUUUUUAAAGACAUUUAUAAGAGCAAUCAUACAAGCAAUCAGGAAGAAGUUUUGAACUUGAUACCUUCCAUUGUCUUUGCUGCAAUGAACCAAU
rnacentral:misc_RNA from 1 species